UGGGGAAUUUUGGACAAUGGGCGAAAGCCUGAUCCAGCAAUGCCGCGUGUGUGAAGAAGGCCUUCGGGUUGUAAAGCACUUUUGUCCGGAAAGAAAUCCUUGGCUCUAAUACAGUCGGGGGAUGACGGUACCGGAAGAAUAAGCACCGGCUAACUACGUGCCAGCAGCCGCGGUAAUACGUAGGGUGCAAGCGUUAAUCGGAAUUACUGGGCGUAAAGCGUGCGCAGGCGGUUUGCUAAGACCGAUGUGAAAUCCCCGGGCUCAACCUGGGAACUGCAUUGGUGACUGGCAGGCUAGAGUAUGGCAGAGGGGGGUAGAAUUCCACGUGUGANCAGUGAAAUGCGUAGAGAUGUGGAGGAAUACCGAUGGCGAAGGCAGCCCCCUGGGCCAAAUACUGACGCUCAUGCACGGAAGCGUGGGGAGCAAAACAGGAUUAGAUAACCCUGGUAGUCCAGCGCCCUAAACGAUGUCAACUAGUUGUUGGGGAUUCAUUUCCUUAGUAACGUAGCUAACGCGUGAAGUUGACCGCCUGGGGAGUACGGUCGCAAAGAUUAAAACUCAAAUGAAUUGACGGGGUCAUAGCUGUUUCC
rnacentral:rRNA from 1 species